GCCAAGACUAGCCCCAAGCAUAAUCAACACUAAUAACAAGCCAACACACACUAAACCAUUUACCUACACAAAGUAUAGGCGAUAGAAAUUCUAAUCUGGCGCUAUAGAUACAGUACCGUAAGGGAAAGAUAGAAAAACCACCCAAGCACAAAACAGCAAGGACUGACCCCUGUACCUUUCGCAUAAUGGAUUAGCUAGAGACAAUUUUACAAAGAGAACUACAAGCCAAAUUCCCCGAAACCAGACGAGCUACCCAAAAACAGCUUAAAGAGCGCACCCGUCUAUGUGGCAAAAUAGUGGGAAGAUUUCUGGGUAGAGGUGACAAGCCUACCGAGCCUGGUGAUAGCUGGUUAUCCAAGACAGAAUCUUAGUUCAACCUUAAGCUUACCUACAGAACCACCUAAUCCCCCUGUAAGCUUAAUUGCUAGUCUAAAGAGGGACAGCUCUUUAGACACUAGGAAAAAACCUUACAGAGAGAGUAAAAACCCCAACUACCAUAGUUGGCCUAAAAGCAGCCAUCAAUUAAGAAAGCGUUCAAGCUCAACAUCAACCACCUCAAAAAUACCAAACACAUAACUGAACUCCUCACACCACAUUGGAUUAAUCUAUCACCAUAUAGAAGCAACAAUGCUAGUAUAAGUAACAUGAAUAUUUUCUCCACUGCAUAAGCCUAAAUCGGACCGAAAGUCUCACCGAUACUUAACAGCCAGGCAUAACAAACAYAAACAAGCUCAUGCCACCUUCACUGUUAACCCAACACAGGCAUGCCUCAAGGAAAGGUUAAAAAAAGUAAAAGGAACUCGGCAAACUCAAACCCCGCCUGUUUACCAAAAACAUCACCUCUAGCAUUACUAGUAUUAGAGGCACUGCCUGCCCGGUGACACACGUUUAACGGCCGCGGUACCCUGAC
rnacentral:rRNA from 1 species